UACGGGGGGAGCAAGCGUUGUUCGGAUUUACUGGGCGUAAAGGGCGCGUAGGCGGUCAGCACAAGUCAGUUGUGAAAUCUCCGAGCUUAACUCGGAAAGGUCAACUGAUACUGUGCGACUAGAGUGCAGAAGGGGCAACUGGAAUUCUUGGUGUAGCGGUGAAAUGCGUAGAUAUCAAGAGGAACACCUGCGGCGAAGGCGGGUUGCUGGGCUGACACUGACGCUGAAGCGCGAAAGCGUGGGGAGCAAACAGG
rnacentral:rRNA from 1 species